rnacentral:rRNA from 1 species
UUUCUACUUAACACAUGCAAGUCGAACGGUGAACACGGAGCUUGCUCUGUGGGAUCAGUGGCGAACGGGUGAGUAACACGUGAGCAACCUGCCCCUGACUCUGGGAUAAGCGCUGGAAACGGCGUCUAAUACUGGAUAUGUGACGUGACCGCAUGGUCUGCGUCUGGAAAGAAUUUCGGUUGGGGAUGGGCUCGCGGCCUAUCAGCUUGUUGGUGAGGUAAUGGCUCACCAAGGCGUCGACGGGUAGCCGGCCUGAGAGGGUGACCGGCCACACUGGGACUGAGACACGGCCCAGACUCCUACGGGAGGCAGCAGUGGGGAAUAUUGCACAAUGGGCGCAAGCCUGAUGCAGCAACGCCGCGUGAGGGACGACGGCCUUCGGGUUGUAAACCUCUUUUAGCAGGGAAGAAGCGAAAGUGACGGUACCUGCAGAAAAAGCGCCGGCUAACUACGUGCCAGCAGCCGCGGUAAUACGUAGGGCGCAAGCGUUAUCCGGAAUUAUUGGGCGUAAAGAGCUCGUAGGCGGUUUGUCGCGUCUGCUGUGAAAUCCGGAGGCUCAACCUCCGGCCUGCAGUGGGUACGGGCAGACUAGAGUGCGGUAGGGGAGAUUGGAAUUCCUGGUGUAGCGGUGGAUGCGCA